GAAUCCAGCCAUCAUCUGAGGAAGCAGUUCAUGUCGCAGCAAAGGAAGUUCUGUUCUCACCACAGCCCCUAUCUUCUGGAAGCAGCUGUCGUAAUUGAAAGGGUGCAUUUCUCACCUGCACUGUGGUCCAGGAAACUCAAGUCACCGUCCCCACCAUGUUCUUCCUGACUUCGAAGCAGUCUGGUGACCCCAGGCAGGAACUGACUAGCAUGAGAGUCUUGAUGCAGGAGAAUUUUUGAAGAAAUUCAGAAGCAGAACCGAAAGGAGGAGAGAAGGUGGAGGUGGGAAAGCUGACAGCUGGAGACUGGGGAGGGCCCUUUGAGGCCUGGGAGAGAAUAUGUGGAUGGUGGGGAGACCUUUCCCAGCAUUUUGGUAAAGGCUCCGUCAGUGCCCUGUCCUCGUGUUGGGGUCCCCCUCUCACAAAGUAUCUUUUCCACCUUUAGCCACCUCCACCCUGUCCACUAACCUUCAGUGGGAACAGCAGAUGCAACUGGCGGGGCUGAAGGUUUAAGCCUGCAACAUCUGAAGCCCUGGACCUGGAACCGGAGACUCCCACCAGCCACUAUACCUGUGAACCCGUAGAAGACCUGAACUACCUAUUUAAAAGACAGUCAAAAGAUAAGUAAAUGCCUACCAAUUUUCCCUGGUGUAAAAUGUUAACUGAUUUUUGCUCUCUCACUUACAGAUGUUUGUAUAAGGGUUUCAGCCAAUUUUGGAACAAAAUUCAAAAUCAGGCCAAAAUACUUACCUGUUGUGACUAGAUCAAGCCAGCUGUACCUUUUAUAACCACGUACAAGGCUUGCCGCAACCCAUGGAUACCCACCUAAAUACUUAGGAAUAGAGAGCCAUGAUCCUCAGUAGGCAGGGACAAUGCCCAUGACCAGUAGAAAGUAGCUACAGAAAACUGAUCUUCAGCCCUUUUGCCUCCCAUAAAGAUUUAUGGGGAUCAUAUCUCUCAGAGGGAAAUGAGGCAGGAGAAUAGGGAAUUAGGGUAACCAGGGUUUCAGCUGGUGCAGCCAGUGCCGCAGGGGUGGAAGAACAGCAGGUGCAGCCAGUUCAAAUGAGCAGAAGAACAGCAGGUGCAGCAUAUAGGCCACAUCCUUGCUCCCAUGAUAACAAGCCACUUCAGCCUCCGAUUGGUCUCAGGCCAAUCCUUUAUGAGGUGUGGUCAAUUGGAGGCCUCUGAAGGGCACUGAGAGGUGUUGCCGGGUUUUUUCUUUAAUAAAAACCGUAAUUGAGGGGGCUCUUGAGCAGCCGCUUGCUCAAGCCCAAUCCCACUCUGAAUUUUCUUCAAUAAAUCUGUGCCCACACUGGCAUUUUGUUCAGUUCCUUGCCCAAUACACCAAGAACAGCAGGUGCAGCAUACAGGCCACAUCCUGGCUGGACAACUCACAUUUAGGACACUCUCUCCGGCAACAGGUGACAUCAUCCUCUUAGCCUGUCAAAAUGUUGGUAUUACAGGCAUGAGCUGCCCUGCCUGGCCUAUAACUUUUUUUGCUGAAAAAUAUUCCCUUGUAUGCAGGUAUUACAUUUAGCCAUUCAUCAGCUGGUGGACAUUUGAACUGUUUCCACUUUUGUUUACUAUGAAUAAAGCUGCUAUGAACACCUGUGUAAAGUUUUGCAUAGACAUGUUUUCAUUUCUGUAUAUAUAUCUAA
rnacentral:lncRNA from 1 species